ACAUGAAAAAGAAUUAAGCAUCUACCCUGUUUAAAUCAUUGUUACUUUGGGUCUGCAUGACUCACAGCAAAACCUGACCCUAAUGAUAUACUCAUACAAUGAGAAGUCCCUGAAGUAGAGUGGGCUUCAGGAACAGUGUAGUCUAGUGGCUCUGGCUCCAUUCCUCUGUGAUGCUCUUGGCCUCUGCUCUCCUCCAUGAGAGAGACUCAUCUCGGGCUGGUAAUGUUAUAGGUGUAGUGGUUCUGGAGCUCACGUCUGCACAUGACAAAAGUCUAAAGGGAGAGGGGAAAAGUAGCUUCCAGAAGUUUUCCCAGAAGAGAGAAAAAGAACAUAACAAGAAGUCCCCAACAAACCUCUCCUCUUGUAUUUGGGCCUGAAUUGAAUCUUGAAACAAUCAUUGGCAAGUACACAGGAUAUUCCUUAGACCAAAUAGAGCCACCCUUAGAACGGCGGGUGAGGCAAGCUUCCUCUCAGCCAGGCACACGAGCUCGUGGGAGAGCGCUGGAGAGCUGACCAAAACUGAAAUUGUGUUAGGAAGGAGGAAAGGUAAUAUUCUGGCUACUUAUUAGCAUAGCAAGCCACCCAAAACUUGAUGGCCUAAAAACAACCUUAAUAACAAUUUUAUUUAGCUUUCAAGUCUGCAAUCUGGGCAGGACUCAGCAGGGACAACUCAUCUGGCUCCACAUGGCGUCAGCUGGAGGACGGGGGCUCCUUGAAGAUCGGUGGGGAGCACCUCGGCAUCGCUCUGUCUCUCUGUGGUCUCCCAUGCAAUGGCUUCACGGUUGCUGGAUCCUUACAUAGCAGCUCAAGCUCAAAAGGCACAUGUCCCAAGACAGAGAGAGUCAGGAGAAUACAGUGUAGCCUUAUCUAACCUAGCCCCAUUCUAUCGCAUUCUAUGUGUACAGGAAGUCACAGAGGCUCACCCAGGAUCGAGGAGAAGAAACAUCAGUUCCACAUCUUUAUGGUUCCGUGGCAAGGUUCCGGAAGAAUAUAUAAGACUGGAAUUAUUAUGGCAACUCAUGUUGGAAAAUGCAAUCUGCUGCAAGGUGAAUGGGAGGUUGAUGGUCACCAAUAACGUCCACCACCAGGAGAAAUCAAGUGGACUUCCUGGCUCUGCUUUCCUCUCCCUUCUUCACAGGACACUGUGAGCUUUCUCUGAGAAGGCGAGUGAGUCCAUUGGACCAGGCUAGCAUCGUUUUAAUGGAUGAACCGGUGACAAGCGCUAGACACAUAACUAGGUGGCAGACUUCCCUCCCACCUCUCGGGAGGAAUUUAGGCUUCAUGCACACCCAGCCCCCUUUGGCUCGCCACGUCUUUCAGUUCCAGAUCUUCUGGGAUUCCAGUCAGCAGGCUCGUGUGUCUCAUUCUACCUCUGAAACCCGGAGCUGCUGAGCCGUGAUGAUUUUUCCACGCCUCACCCUGGGGUGUGUUCGCACAAAAUGCCGAAGUAUUUUAAAUCUUUCGAACUCAUUAAAAUAGAUGUGCAACUGGGAUCUGCUCACUCUGUUCUCCAGGAUCCCCUACUCUGGCUCCCCACACCCUACUGUCCCCCAAAACUCACAACCCCAAUAGAUCCCAUUAAUAAAGACAUGCGAGCUGUCUCUGGUGGUCUGGAA
rnacentral:lncRNA from 1 species